GAAUCUAUAAACAUGGAACCCAUGGACGCUGAACUCAUGGAUACAGAGGGCAGGCUGUAUUUACCAUAUUGCAUUACAAAGAGGAAUCCCAGGUUCCCACAUACAUCAAGCAACAAAAUGAAGUUUCUCCACAAGAAGAAUUAAGCCCCCUUCUCAGUAGCAGAGUCCAGUGCCUUGCAGAGCCUGAAGCCUGGGGAGAAGGCCCAGCCUGGGACCCUCUGGGCUGCUGUGGCUCCUCUGCCUCCACAGAUCCCAUCCUCCAAGCCAGCCCACCUCUGCCUUCAUCAUAUCCCAGGAUACUGUUUGUAAAUAAUCUGCUGUAAGCUUUCUUAACUGUUUUUGUAACAAGCAAAGAGAAUAUGGUAA
rnacentral:sRNA from 1 species